GACUUCUACUCGGUAAAGAAACAUUGAUGACGCUUGAAUUCCAAAUAUCUACAUACAGUAACUUAAACUAAAUAGAAAACUGCCCACACACCAACAUUUGAGAUUUCAAGACUGAAUGUCUGAGAUGAGUCCAUUCACAAUUCUGUUCUCGCGUGUGCUACUCUGUUGAUCUUCUGUUCUAGAACAGCUGGCGAGUCAAAGAAUAUUUAUAACAUAUGCAACCGCCCCGGAGGAGUUCAAGCCUGUCAGACAUUCUGUGACCCUGACGAUGGAAGGUGUGAGCACUUCAAUGGACCCGCCAAGUUCUUUGAGCGUGGGCAAUGGAUGUGCGUGAACACAAAAUUGCGAUGCUCGUGUCAUAAGAAAACAACAAGAAGAACAACAAGGCGAACGACCCGUGUACCUUCACACAUUCC